UCGGAUGUGGUGCACGGUGGACAUCAGCUACCACUAAAGGGGUGAGGAUGUGCUGUAAGCUGAAGAACGGGGUUCGACUCCCCGCAUCUGAA